ACGCCGAUCAGCUAGUACCGGCGGUCGUCGCCGUCGUGGCCGUGUUGUGCCUGCUCAUCGCCGGCCGCGCGGAUGGCCAGGACGAGUACGUCCCUGCUACCGCGGGGAGCCAAGAGGUGGAGCCGCAGCCGGGGCUGCUGCCGGGGGCCUCCCUGGCCAAGGCGUUCACAGGCGGCUACUUCCCGCAGCAGCCCAAGGCCGAGCCGGAGCCGGAGCAGACGACCACGGAACCGGAGCCGGAGCCGGAGCAGACGACCAGGGAACCGGAGCCGGUCACGCCCACGCGCGACCAGGGCGAUUUCUACCGCACCGGCGUGACCCCGACCGCGCCGGAGCCGCCGGCGAUGCUAACCUCCCCAGAGACGUGGGAGAAGCCGUGGACGCCAUUUGUACCCAAGACGUCGGCGAUUGUUCCCAAGACGCCGACGUAUGUGCCCGAGACGCCGGCGUUUGUGCCCAAGACGCCAUAAUUACCAUGGGCCUUAAAAUUAUUCCCUCCAUCAUGGUUUAAAAGCGCGUGUUUGAAAAUUCUUUCGAACCUAUGUGGUUAUUGAUUGACUGUGAGAUGAGCUGAAAAAUAGCAUUCACAAUCAAAUGCAUAUAAAAGUAGUACAACGAAAUACUAAUUAGCUGCUAAGAGUAAAUUCAAUGCGCCUUAAACCUUGUUUAUUGUGAAAAUGCACGUAAAUUUAACCGUGCCUUCUAAACUGUGACGAAGGAAAUAUAAACGAUGUAUCGAGGCUGACGGGUCUUUUAAACCCGAAAGGAAGUAGUAUUUAAUAGGUCUGAUCGUAGAACAUAUAUGUGCAUCAUCAUCACAUCAGAACCAAUAGUAACAUAAAACAUGACCUACAAAGAUGGACGAUCAUGAGGCAACACGAUAGAGAGACAGAACUACUCAUCCUCCGGUUUAGCAACAAUGAAACCGAGAAAGAGAAAUCUCCCAUCACGUCCAUGGUGGAGCACGAAGAUCAUCAUGUCUUCAAUAUCUAUGUCGUACAUACGACUACUUUGCUCCACCCAUUAAAACCAAUAUUUCCAUCUCCUUGUCACGAAUACGAGUAUGAAGUCGAACCGAGAUGUUAACACUAGGAUGGAGCACAAUGGUUAUAGCUCUUCAUUUGCACUCAUCUCCUUAGGCACAGUAAGUUGUGGGAGUAUCUGGUGAGAGAACACAAUUUGAACACUUUAAGGAAUCUAGAUAAUUGCCGGAGUAUCUGAAGAUAAUGAGUAUGUUGUCAAUAUUGGCCUUGUUCAAACAGUAUUGCGGGGGCAUGUAGGAAUGAUCUCUCGGUCCAGCAUUGUAACCAUUCACGAGCCUUCAAAUUUGAUCAACAAAGCCGAUGGCAAACCUCAUCUCUUCCUAGCUUACUCAUCUUCCGUCAUUAACCUCCAUAUUUUCUAUAAAGUGUUUUGUUACAGUAUUCACUCUGUAAUAAGCUAUCAAAAUAUUUGUAAAUAAGAUCACUUAAAUAUAGCAUCCGGAUGAAAUGUGAUUAUAUAAAUCUAGCUGUAAAUAUGGUUACUUAAAAUUAAUUGCUGGAUAUUUGCCAGAAUCAUUACACGGAUGAGUUAUUGUAUAUCAUUGCUCAAACGUAGACGAUUAGGUUUUCCACCUAGUCCGAGGGGCAUCUCUACACGUACUUCGAACUGAUAUAUUUUGACAAAUUCUUUCCAAAUACGUCAUGUGAAAAAUGUCUUAUCUUUUUAGUUCCUGACCCUGCAUACUUGAAAACAAAAGCUCUCUCCUGUCUUAGAUCUAUUUAUAACUUUACUCAUAUGCACUAUAACCCGUAGCAAUUACCUUUGUUUACACGUAUGAGGAAUUAGCGAAACACACGUUCUUCAGUUAGGUCAUCCAUUAUUGUUGGCAAUAACAUGGUUUAGGACAUCCAUUUCAAUGUGGUUGGUUCGAAAAAUAGCAGUGGCCAUCAAUCCAUGCCGAAAUUAGCAUCUCUCUCCCGGUACAUAAACAGCGUACGCACCAGCAUGCAAAAAAUUCUAAACCACCCACUUCCACGUUAACCGACCAUGCACGCCGAUCAGCUAGUACCGGCGGUCGUCGCCGCCGUGGCCGUGUUGUGCCUGCUCAUCGCCGGCCGCGCGGACGGCCAGGACGAGUACGUCCCUGCUGCCGCGGGGAGCGAAGAGGCGGUGGAGCCGCAGCCGGGGACCGCCGCAGCCGGCGGCGAGGAGUACGUCCCGCAGCCGGGGUUGCUGCCGGGGGCCUCCCUAGCCAAGGCGUUCACCGGCGGCUACUUCCCGCAGCAGCCCAAGGCCGAGCCGGAGCCGGAGCAGACGACCACGGAACCGGAGCCGGAGCCGGAGCAGACGACCAGGGAACCGGAGCCGAUCACGCCCACGCGCGACCAGGGCGAUUUCUACCGCACCGGCGUGACGCCGACCGCGCCUGAGCCGCCUGCGAUGCUAACCUCGCCGGAGACGUGGGAGAAGCCGUGGACGCCAUUUGUACCCAAGACGCCGUCGUAUGUGCCCCAGACGCCGGCGUUUGUUCCCAAGACGCCGUCGUAUGUGCCCCAGACGCCGGCGUAUGUGCCCCAGACGCCGGCGUUUGUGCCCCAGACGCCUGCGUACGUGCCCAAGACGCCGGCGUACGUGCCCCAGACGCCGGCGUACGUGCCCCAGACGCCGGCGUAUGUGCCCCAGCAGCAGAGUGGCGGCGGCGGAUCGUACGCUGGCGGGGGCGGCAACAAGCAGGUGGACGACGACGGGGAGCCGGUGGACGGGCUGAGCCCCAAGGCCAUCGACAACAUCCUCAAGGAGCACAACGCUUUCCGCGCCAAGGAGCACGUGCCCCCUCUCACGUAAGCUAGCUACCACUACUAGACAAUGCAUGCAUGCAUGCAUCCCGCGGCGGCCGGAGACGAUGAGGAUGACAACUCCGGCGAAGCUGAUGGGAUGGAUGGAUGCAGGUGGAACGCGACGGUGGCGCAGUACGCGCAGCAGUACGCGAACAAGCGCAAGGGGGACUGCGCGCUGAAGCACUCGACGGGGCCGUACGGGGAGAACCUCAAGUACGGGGAGGGCAAGGCGUGGACGUGGCGCCACACCGUCGACGAGUGGAGCGAGGAGAAGAAGAACUACCACUACGGCUCCAACUCCUGCGACGCCGGCAAGCAGUGCGGCCACUACACCGCCGUCGUCUGGAAGGGCACCACCGGCGUCGGCUGCGGCCGCGUCACCUGCACCACCGGCGACACGCUCAUGGUCUGCAGCUACUACCCGCCUGGGAACUACGACGGCGAGAAGCCAUACUAAUAAUAAUCCAUCUUAUCAAUCGGUUAAUUAACUUAUUAAUUAUUACUUCUUUCUCAAGUAGUACGUAGUACUACUCAGGUAGUACAAUGCAUUUUUGUCUUAAUCUUUCUUGCACAUACAUAAUAUGUGCAUAAGUUAGCAAUCUUUUUCCUAACAAAUUAAGCCUCGCAGCUGCUGCAUGCAUGCUGUAGAAAAAUAGUACCAGGUACUGUAUUUUGUUUUUUUUGAGCUUUACCAGGUACUGUAUUUCGUUGGCAAGAACAGCUUAUGAUGUAUAUUUUUUUUUACCGAAAUAAUGUGCUUUGUUUUUUGGCAGUAGAGAGAAUACUUACUCUCCUACGAAAGUAGUUACUUUUAUGCAACAAUUGAAAGAGGCAUGCGGUCCUAUAGCUUUGUAAAUUGAAUCCUCUUUUCAAGAAAAAUGGUCGAGUUGUUUUUUUCUGACUUUAAGGAAGACCUUUCAUCCAUCGACCGGAAAGAGAUUCAUACAAGCCGGACAGAAACAUUUACAUUUUGAAUAUGUUUUAAUUAAAAACUAAAACUAUGUGCACGGUUCGGCCUCGCGAAGUUCCAUUUCUAUGACACGGAUAUGCUACGCUAGUCUACGGCCGGUCACGAUGGAUUCUUUUAUUUUCUCCAUAUCCGACAGCCCAGUCAUCGCACCGUCGGGGCCCUGGAGAUACGUUCUUCCUCCUUAAUUAUCUUCUCCAUGUCCGGCUACGCCGUUCAUCAGAGUGGACAAGCACGGCUAGAGGGAAAAUGAUAUGACUUUUUAAUAGGCAUUUCAUAAUGAAUGCUAUCAAGUUGACAAAUUAAGAUGCAUAAUGUAAUAGUAUGCGUUCUUUGGUAUUAUGUCGAUUUUUAGUAAAUAGUUAUAUAACGCCAUUUUUUAAAAUGAGUUGUAAAAUGUUAGCACUUCUAGCUCUUACAUAAUAAGAGCAUCUACGAUCGGACCCAUAUAUCCGUCGGACAGGUUGUCCGGUCAGUAACCGGUUAUAAAAACACGAUCCAACCGGAUGUUAGCACUUCUAGCUCUUACAUAAUAAGAGCAUCUACGAUCGAACCCAUAUAUCCGUCGGACAGGUCGUCCGGUCAGUAACCGGUUAUAAAAACACGAUCCAACCGGAUCUCUCAUAUCCUUCUCAAACGUCCGUACUGACCGGCACCUUUCAUAUUCAUCUCAAAUAUAAUGAUGAUAUGAGGGGCUCGCGGACGCCCCGAACAAACCCGACCAGUCAACUAAGUAGGGCACGACUCCAUCCGGGACCACAUUUUCUCUUUCUUUAUUCAUUCUUUUUUUUCUUUUAUUCUCCAUCAAUCACGUGUAAGUGACCAAGUGAGCAGACAUAUAAAAAAAAUAUAAUUAUACGGACAAAAAUAAAGGUUUAAAAUAAACACGCCCGGUCAUUAAUCGGACGCAUCGACGGAUGAAUAAUUGGUCAUAUUUGCUAUGGCAGGCUCGUAGAUGCUCUAAGCUGGAUCAUUGAAUAAUCAUAUGACAUACGAUUAAAAGGACGUUGCUCCCGAUUGAGGACUGUGCUAGUGGUUUGUAAAAAAUAUUAUCUUUAAUUCUCUUUUUUUUUCCAGUGGUCACCUGUUGUGGUACUACCAAAUGUGGUAUAUGAAAUCCUAUUUAACCCUCAUGUUGCAAGGUUAAUUCCGAAAUUAGUUUUGUCAUUUUCCAUCCACAACCUUGGUGGGGCUAGAUGCCCCUAGCUUGCCCCUAGCUUGCCCCUAGCUUGCCCCUUGGUGUAGUAGGAGGCAGUGCAUGCCCUAGUCCGUGUCAUCCCAAGGUCCGGUCCGGUCGAUGGAGCGCCUGCAGAUCGAUGCAUGGAGCAAGAGACAGUACUGCUAGCAUACACAUAACGCAUGGCUUUUUGCGUAGCUCCGUGCAUGUAGCUGCGCCAGCGAAGUGACACGACGCAUGCAAGCUAGUCGUGGAAAGACGAGCAGCCAAAGCUAGCUGGUGGCCGGAGCAGUAGACACAUCAAGUGCAGGUGGUUCAGGCAGGGCCUCUGGUCGUCCUCCCCUCUGCUUCACUUCACCUCACCUCUCUCUUCUCUGCCUUCCCUCCCACCCGAUGGCGCGCCGCCGCCAUGCCGUCGUGGUCGUCCUCUUCCUCGUGAUCCUCGCCUCCAGCGCCGCCGCCACCGAGGUGCGCGCGUAGCACCCUCGUCGUAAUUAAUCAUGCAUGCUAGAUUGCGCGCGAGCUGGUGGUUUGCUGAUCCUCUCCCNNNNNNNNNNNNNNNNNNNNNNNNNNNNNNNNNNNNNNNNNNNNNNNNNNNNNNNNNNNNNNNNNNNNNNNNNNNNNNNNNNNNNNNNNNNNNNNNNNNNGGAUAUUUGCCAGAAUCAUUACACGGAUGAAUUAUUGUAUAUCACUAGCAAAAAAGGCCCGUGCGUUGCAACGGGAGAAAAAACCACCAUCUUCAAUGGCAAUGACCAUAUUAUGUUCAUAUCUCAUCGCAUGAUUUCGAAAACUUGUUCACAAAUGUAAGAAAUAUUUCUUUAUUUAUUUUAUUCACAAUUCACAAGUUGAAACAAUGUUCAUAUUUAAAAAUAUCAUGGUUAUCAAAAACUUGGUAACUCAAAGAAUUAUUCUGAAUUUCAAGAAACAUUUUAAAAAUAUAGUAUAAUAUUCCGAUCUAUCAUCACAAUUAAUUCUUCAAAAUUCACUCAGGUAUAUAAUCUGAAAGACUCAGAAGCAUUACUAUUGAACGCCAUACAUUCGAUCAUUCGUGAACAUUUUUACAAAUUUGGGAAUAUUUUUAAAAUCAAGAACAUUUUUUACUAUUUAUAAAUAUUUUUUAAAAAUUACAAAUAAUAUUUUAUAUUACAAACUUUUUUCUAGUAUUUUCUUGGGAAUUGGCGAAUAAUUCAUUUUUUGAAUUGUCCAACAUUUUUUUAAUUGCAUUAAAGAAAUUGCUAAAAAUGAUGGACUUUUUUUAUUCACGAAUGUUUUCUCCAAAAUUACGAAUUUUUUAAUAUGCAAAUUCUUUUACAAAAAUCCUGAACAAUUUUUGAAUUCGCAAACAUUUUAUAUUUUAUCAAACAUUUAUGUAAAUAUUUAUUUUUUAAUUUCAAAAGUUUUUGUUGAUUUAUUUGAAAUAUAAAAAAUAAAAAGUAACAGAUAAAUAUUAAUUAAAAACUAAAAAAACAGGCACCUGCCCAUGGGCUGGCCCAAAUGGGCGUGGUGCUUAUUUUCCAACAAGCAGAGCGUAGUAUAGCUGGUCCCUAUGCUUGGGCCGGCCCAUGCGAGAAUUACCUCCAAAACGUUUUUUAUAACUUAUAGGUGGCAUUGAUGGGUAAUUUUAAAGAAUUUUAGAGGUAAAUUUAAUGACGUACCACAGAAGCAAUAGGUGCUUUAUUAAUAGGGAUAGAUUGCUCAAACGUACUUAGAGGUGACGAUUAGGUUUUCCACCUAGUUCGAGGGAUAUCUCCACACGUACUUCGAACUGAUAUAUUUUGACAACUUCUUUCCAAAUACGUCAUGUGAAAAAUGUCUUAUCUUUUUAGUUCUUGACCCUGCAUACUCGAAAACAAAAGCUCUCUCCUGUCUUAGAUCUAUUUAUAACUUUACUCAUAUGCACUAUAACCCGUAGCAAUUACCUUUGUUUACACGUAUGAGGAAUUAGCAUGUGUGUUUGUCCACGUUCUUCUUACCUUCUUCCUUUGGCAAUUAGGCCAUCCAUUAUUGUUGGCAAUAACAUGGUUUAGGACAUCCAUUUCAAUGUGGUUGGUGUUAGACAUUGUAUUACGUAUACACAUGGUAUAUGUAUAAACCAUGUGUAUUACGAUUGUAGGCAUGCGUGUGUGGUUUAAACUAGGGAUAUCUUGUUAGGGUCUAUCUCUUGUGUUUAACCUUGUAGAUAGAGAUAGAUCCUAACUCCUUGUUGUAAUCUCCUAGGUCUUGUGCCUUUAUUAACACGCAUGUGUCCCUGCUAAACGCAUACGCUUCAAGCCUUUCUAUUCUCACAUGGUAUCAGAGCCUAUCUCGUUGCAAAACGGUUUGAACAAUGUUAUGGUCUUGAUUAUGAGGAUACUUUAAAUCCCGUUGUUAAAGCCGCCACCAUCAGAUUGGUUCUGUCUAUAGUUGUCUCUAGGAAUUGGUGUAUGCGACAGUUGGACGUUAAGAACGCGUUUUUGCAUGGUGUUCUGGAAGAGAAUGUUUUUAUGCGACAGCCACCUGGGUAUACAGAUUCAAGGUUUCCGCACUUGGUCUGUAAACUGGAUAAAGCUCUGUAUGGUCUCAAACAGGCUCCCCGUGCAUGGUACUCUCGCUUGUCUUUCAAGCUUCAGUCUCUUGGUUUUCAACCCUCCAAGAGUGAUACCUCACUGUUUUUUUAUUCUCGGAGAGGGGUGACUAUCUUUAUGCUCAUAUAUGUGGAUGACAUUAUUGUUACUAGUUCCUCUGUACAAGCAGUUGAAGCCCUCCUCAGUGAUCUUUGCAUGGACUUUGCACUCAAAGAUCUUGGAUCCCUCCAUUAUUUUCUUGGUAUUGAGGUAACUUCUACUGAUAAUGGUAUUGCUUUAUCUCAAGGGAAAUAUUUGCUUGAUUUGCUUCAACGAGUCAAUAUGAAUGGUUGCAAACCUGUCAGUACUCCUUUGUCUACUUCUGAGAAGUUGUCUUUGUUUGAUGGACAUCCUCUUGGACAUGGAGAUUCUACCAACUAUCGCAGUGUUGUUGGUGCUUUGCAAUACUUAACUCUUACUAGACCAGAUAUUUGUUGUUCGGUCAACAAGGUAUGUCAAUUCUUGCAUGCUCCAACAUCUGUUCACUGGACGGCAGUCAAACGUGUACUUCGUUAUUUACAAGGCACUAUCACCCAUGGUCUGCGUAUAUCUAAGUCUCAUUCCAUGUUAGUCAGCGCAUUCUCUGAUGCAGAUUGGGCUGGUUGCCCUGAUGACAAAAAGUCUACUGGUGGUUUUGCUGUUUUUGUUGGUAGUAAUCUUGUGUCUUGGACUGCACGAAAGCAACCUACAGUUUCUCGCUCCAGCACAGAGGCUGAGUACAAAGCAAUUGCUAAUGCUACUGCCGAGGUAAUAUGGGUAUCGAACCUUUUGACUGAGCUGGGUAUUCCUCAUCCUAAGUCUGCCUCCCUAUGGUGUGAUAAUUUAGGAGCUACAUACUUAUCUGCAAAUCCUAUUUUUCAUGCAAGGACAAAGCAUAUUGAAAUUGAUUAUCACUUUGUCCGUGAGAGAGUGGCUCAGAAACUGCUACACAUACGGUUUAUUCCCACUUGUGAUCAAUUGGCUGGUGGCUUUACUAAACCUCUUACUCUUCGCCAGAUGGUAGUUUUUCGUCGCAAUCUCAACUUGGACAAGUUGUGAUUGAGGGGGGGUGUUAGACAUUGUAUUACGUAUACACAUGGUAUAUGUAUAAACCAUGUGUAUUACGAUUGUAGGCAUGCGUGUGUGGUUUAAACUAGAGAUAUCUCAUUAGGGUCUAUCUCUUGUGUUUAACCUUGUAGAUAGAGAUAGAUCCUAACUCCUUGUUGUAAUCUCCUAGGUCUUGUGCCUUUAUUAACACGCACGCGUCCCUGCUAAACGCAUACGCUUCAAGCCUUUCUAUUCUCACAGUUGGUUCGAAAAAUAGCAGUGGCCACCAAUCCAUGCCGAAAUUAGCAUCUCUCUCCCGGUACAUAAACACGUACGCGCCAGCAUGCAAAAAAUUCUAAACCACCCACUUCCACGUUAACCGAUCAUGCACGCCGAUCAGCUAGUACCGGCGGUCGUCGCCGCCGUGGUCGUGUUGUGCCUGCUCAUCGCCGGACGCGCGGACGGCCAGGACGAGUACGUCCCUGCUGCCGCGGGGAGCCAAGAGGUGGAGCCGCAGCCGGGGCUGCUGCCGGGGGCCUCCCUGGCCAAGGCGUUCACAGGCGGCUAUUUCCCGCAGCAGCCCAAGGCCGAGCCGGAGCCGGAGCAGACGACCACGGAACCCGAGCAGACGACCAGGGAACCGGAGCCGGUCACGCCCACGCGCGACCAGGGCGAUUUCUACCGCACCGGCGUGACCCCGACCGCGCCGGAACCGCCGGCGAUGCUAACCUCCCCAGAGACGUGGGAGAAGCCGUGGACGCCAUUUGUACCCAAGACGUCGGCGAUUGUUCCCAAGACGCCGGCGUAUGUGCCCCAGACGCCGGCGUUUGUGCCCAAGACGCCAUAAUUACCAUGGGCCUUAAAAUUAUUCCCUCCAUCAUGGUUUAAAAGCGCGUGUUUGAAAAUUCUUUCGAACCUAUGUGGUUAUUGAUUGACUGUGAGAUGAGCUGAAAAAUAGCAUUCACAAUCGCAUGCAUAUAAAAGUAGUACAACGAAAUACUAAUUAGCUGCUAAGAGUAAAUGCAAUGCGCCUUAAACCUUGUUUAUUGUGAAAAUGCACGUAAAUUUAACCGUGCCUUCUAAACUGUGACGAAGGAAAUAUAAACGAUGUAUCAAGGCUGACGGGUCUUUUAAACCCGAACGGAAGUAGUAUUUAAUAGGUC
rnacentral:lncRNA from 1 species